rnacentral:tRNA from 1 species
GGUCGGGUGGCCUAAUGGUAAGGCGUUGCUUUCCGGUUCGGUCUGGCAAAGAUUGCGGGUUCGAGUCCCGUCUCGAUCG